rnacentral:rRNA from 1 species
CCUACGGGUGACAGCAGUGAGGAAUAUUGGUCAAUGGGCGGAAGCCUGAACCAGCCAAGUAGCGUGCGGGAUGAAGUAUUUCGGUAUGUAAAGCUCUAUCAGCAGGGAAGAAAAUGACGGUACCUGACUAAGAAGCCCCGGCUAACUACGUGCCAGCAGCCGCGGUAAUACGUAGGGGGCAAGCGUUAUCCGGAUUUACUGGGUGUAAAGGGAGCGUAGACGGCGGUGCAAGCCAGAUGUGAAAGCCCGGGGCUCAACCCCGGGACUGCAUUUGGAACUGUGCUGCUAGAGUGUCGGAGAGGCAGGCGGAAUUCCUAGUGUAGCGGUGAAAUGCGUAGAUAUUAGGAGGAACACCAGUGGCGAAGGCGGCCUGCUGGACGAUGACUGACGUUGAGGCUCGAAAGCGUGGGGAGCAAACAGGAUUAGAUACCCUAGUAGUC